rnacentral:rRNA from 1 species
AAAGCUCUGUGAAAGCAGAGACCUCCCUUCGGGGACUGGUACACAGGUGUUGCAUGGCUGUCGUCAGCUCGUGUCGUGAGAUUUUGGGUUAAGUCCCGCAACGAGCGCAACCCUUAUCUUUAGUUGCAAACCAGCAAUGGUGCACUCUAAAGAGACUGCCGCUGAUAAAGCGGAGGAAGGUGAGGAUGACGUCAAGUCAGUACGGCCCUUACGCCUGGGGCUACACACGUGCUACAAUGGCCGGUACAAUGGGUUGCGAUACCGCAAGAUGGAGCUAAUCCCCAAAAGCCGGUCCCAGUACGGAUUGAAGGCUGCAAUUCGCCUUCAUGAAGCCGGAAUCGUUAGUAACCCCGUAUCAGCUACGACGGGGUGAAUACGUUCCCGGGUCUUGUACACACCGCCCGUCAAGUCACCCGAGUGGGUGGUACCCGAAGUA